rnacentral:lncRNA from 1 species
UGCAGCCUUGACCUCCAGUGCUCAAGCAAUCCUCCCACCUCAGUCUCUUGAGUCCCUGGGACUACAGGCACAUGCUACCAUGCCUGGCUAACUUUUAUAUUCUUUGCAGAGAUGGGGUUUCACCAUGUUGCCCAGGCUGCUCUCAAACUCCUGGAACACAGUGGUGCAAUCACAGCUCGCUGCAGCCACGACGUCCCAGGCUCAAGCAAUCCUCUCACCUCAGCUUCCUAAAGUGCUGGGAUUACAGGCAUGAGUCACAGCACCCGGCAAAUUUUACCCUCUUAAAGAUAAAUAAUAAGCACGAUAUUGCUAGAUGUGGAAUCACGUUCUGAGUUAGUUUAAUUAAACAAAAAUUGGAAUAAAUAAUUUAAAAUGAAAGUCCAACAGCAUCUUAGUGAUAAAGUACAAGUAUUUCAUGUUUGUUGAUCAUUUCUAUUCUUCAUUGACUCACCUCUAUAGAUGUUUUGUGUUUUAAUUGUAGUCUACCCAUGGUGUUGGAAUGAAUGGAAAUAAUGCAGCAGCAGGGAAAAGCGUAGGUAAGCUACAGAUAAUUUUGAAAACAAUACAAGGCUGAUAAUUACAUAAUUAUGCAUCCGGUUGAAUUUUCAAAGAGAAAUGGGAAGAACCUUCUCUGUGGCAUGUACAGAGUAAAUUCUGUCUCUAAAUGCUUUUUCCAAUUAAGGAUAAUUAUGAGAACGGACUGUAGGACAUAUAUAAAGAAUAAAACAAAAAUUGAAAUUGAAGUAUAUUAUCUUGGAAGAGGUGUUAUCUAUGUCAGAAAAACCCACAAGAUUAUUGAAGAAUGAACAUGUAAUUCCCAACCACCUUAGUUGCUGGCCACUCUAGAGCCAUGUGGGUUUUGAAGAAUUACCCUAGAAAGAUGUCUUUCAACAUCAUGGCCAAACAUCAGAGGUGGUGGUAAGAAUCUCUUUUUGAUGAACUAGUCAUUUCUGGAUAAAACAAAGGGAUAGUCUGUAGGGCCAGCCCUUUCCAAGGCCUAGUAGUGGAAGUGACUAUAACAUUAGCACUUCUUUCUACCAGUAUGGUAACACAUUAAAGAUGCACCGGCCAGUCAUUAUUUUCAAGGAGGAAGGAAGCCAUCUUUUUAAAUGUUUUAAUACCCAGACCAGGGAUGGGAAACUCAUUACCAAAGAUGUGCCACCUUUGUAGCCUCAAGGUUUUAAAAGAUACCUUAUUUGUUAUGGUUGUCAUGUGGGUUUUAUGUUUUUAUUGAAGACAUUUACCUGGGUCAAGCGGAGACUUGGAGAACUUUUCUGUGUCUAGCUAAAGGAUUGUAAAUGCACCAAUAAGCACUCUGUAAAAUGGACCAAUCAGUGCUCUGUAAGAUGGACCAAUCAUCAGUUGGCAACACAAGCAAAACUCGUCUCAAACAACAACAACAACAACAACAAAACUAGAACAUACCUAUUUUCCACAGUAAAAGACAAAUGGAGAAAAUUCAUCAUUUUUCUGCUCUUUGUAAAUGAAUGCAGAGUCUGGCCUGGUGCAGUGGCUCAUGCCUGUAUUCCCAGCACUUUGGCAGGCGGAGGCAGGCGGAUCACGAGGUCAGGAGAUUGAGACCAUCCUGGCUAACACGGUGAAACCUCGUCUCUACUAAAAACACAAAAAAAUAGCCGGGCGUGGUGGCAGGCGCCUGAGAGAACUGAGUUCAGGAGAGAAGGAUGUCCUGUUUCAUAUGGUGAGUGAAAAUAUAAACAGUAUGAGGUGGUAGUGUGUAGACAAAAUUAUCAGGAUUUUUUUUUUUUAAGAGUAGCACAUAGUUUCCAACACCUAUAAGGUGGUGGAGUUAGGAGCAAUAUUUUGCGGGCAAGGGGUGGAUCUCACAAAGUACAUUCUCAAGGGUGGGGAGAAGUAGGAACUAUAUGAAAGGAGGUUAAAAAGAUUUUUGUUCUUUUCCUUUGAAUAUUUCUGUUCUUCAGUUGAAGAAAUGUUGUAUGACUGUAUGGAUAAGGAUUAAUAGAGUUGUUUUUAAAAAGGGUCUAAAAAGCAUUUACAGACUGAACAUAUACCUGUGUGUAUAUAUACCGAGAUUUUAUGUAAAAUAUUUAAAUGUAUGUAUACUCAUAGGAAAUGUCUAGAAGGAUGUUAAGCAAAUUGUUACUAAUUAUGUCCAGGUGGUGAGAAUUUUAGGUGAUUAAAAAAAAUGAUUGGACUUUUUAUAUCACUUGAAUUAUUCCUUUCAAUGAACACAUCUUUGCCAAAGAAAAGAAAAAAGUUUUUUUUGUUAUGUAGAAGUUUGAUUAUCUAGAUGUUUUCAUUUUUCAAAUAUUGAAUAGAUAUUACAAUAUUUGUAAAUUAUGUAUAGAAUGUAAGUGCUGUUAUUCUGUAAUCACCAGUUAGGAACAAUCUACAUUACUUUUGAUGCCCUUCGUCUCUCUUCUCUGAUCCCAUUCUGUUAUGUUCCCAGAGACAUAACUGCUACCCUGAAUUUUGUUUUUAUUAUUUCAUUGCUA